rnacentral:misc_RNA from 1 species
GAAAUGCGAUAAGUAAUGUGAAUUGCAGAAUUCAGUGAAUCAUCGAAUCUUUGAACGCACAUUGCGCCCUCUGGAAUACCAGAGGGCAUGCCUGUUCGAGCGUCAUUUCAACCCUCAAGCCUAGCUUGGUGUUGGGGCAUUACCUUCCUUCGGGAGGGUAAGCCCUGAAAUUCAGUGGCGAGCUCGCCAGGACUCCGAGCGUAGUAAUAAAACCCUCGCUUUGGACUGUACUGGCGCGGCCCUGCCGUAAAACCCCCAACAUCUGAAAAUUUGACCUCGGAUCAGGUAGGAAUACCCGCUGAACUUAA